AUCCAACCUUUUGUCAACACACUUAUUUAAUCAAGGCAUUGCGAACAUUGGCAGUAACUAUUUCGGUUCGUAUGGCAUUCAGGGGUACAGCAUCUGAGCAGAAGGGCGACUCAGAAGCUUUGAACCACGUUUCUCAGAAGCCCACGGCGCCAGAGGGACCGGGAUGCUACUUCGUCUAUAAAAGACUUCAUUUCCCAGCAUGCAGUGGGAGUGCCGGCCCACGUCUCCCGGCAUUCCAGGGGAGGCAGCUCGGGCCCUGUUCCGCGGCUUUCCCGCUCGCCCCGCCUCCCCCAUUCGCCCCCGAGCCAAUCGGAAGGCCGUAUACUGCAGGGUGUGACGGAGACGGCGCCGCAGCGGAAUUGCGAGUUGGCGAAAGCGGCGGGAAGUUCGUACUGAGCGGAAGGCGACGGGUCUGAGGCUCAGGUGUCUUGCAGCACAAAAGUUUUUGAUUUUGAUGAGGUCCAACUUAUUGAUACAUGGAUCGUGCUUUUGGUGUCAUGCAUGUCUCAGAACUCUUUGCCUAACCCUAGAGUGAACAUACAUUAGUAACCACGACCCAGAUCAACAC